GCUUUCGUGGUGCAACUGUAGCACACUCAGCGCGUAUUCAAGAGUUCGAGGUUCGACUCCUAGCGAAGGCA
rnacentral:tRNA from 1 species